GGGGUACUCGAGUGGCGAACGGGUGAGUAACACGUGGGUGAUCUGCCUUGCACUUCGGGAUAAGCCUGGGAAACUGGGUCUAAUACCGGAUAGGACCAUGCUUUAGUGUGUGUGGUGGAAAGUUUUUCGGUGCAAGAUGAGCCCGCGGCCUAUCAGCUUGUUGGUGGGGUAAUGGCCUACCAAGGCGACGACGGGUAGCCGGCCUGAGAGGGUGUACGGCCACAUUGGGACUGAGACACGGCCCAGACUCC
rnacentral:rRNA from 1 species